AGGUCAUAUAGAUCCAGAAGAAGUAGGUAAAUUCAAUGAGAGGGCGUGAUUGGAUCAAUCAAAUCCUGCCGGAUGAGCUUAUUCUCGAUAUUUUCCGGCAUCUGGAAUCAAAAUCAAGCCGUGACGCUUGUGCACUUGUCUGCAAGCGUUGGCUCCGUCUCGAGCGUCUCAGUCGUCUCACUUUACGAAUUGGUGCCUCUGGCUGCCCCGAUGUGUUUA
rnacentral:misc_RNA from 1 species